UGGGGAAUUUUGGACAAUGGGCGAAAGCCUGAUCCAGCCAUGCCGCGUGAGUGAAGAAGGCCUUCGGGUUGUAAAGCUCUUUUAGUCGGAAAGAAAGAGUUGCAAUGAAUAAUUGUGAUUUAUGACGGUACCGACAGAAAAAGCACCGGCUAACUACGUGCCAGCAGCCGCGGUAAUACGUAGGGUGCGAGCGUUAAUCGGAAUUACUGGGCGUAAAGCGUGCGCAGGCGGUUUUGUAAGACGGAUGUGAAAUCCCCGGGCUUAACCUGGGAACUGCAUUCGUGACUGCAAGGCUAGAGUAUGGCAGAGGGGGGUAGAAUUCCACGUGUAGCAGUGAAAUGCGUAGAGAUGUGGAGGAAUACCGAUGGCGAAGGCAGCCCCCUGGGCCAAUACUGACGCUCAUGCACGAAAGCGUGGGGAGCAAACA
rnacentral:rRNA from 1 species